CUCCUCGAGGGCGCUCAUUUCUGUCAAUGUUGAGUUGAAACUCUUUCUUUCUUUACCUUUUGCUCUGAAACCAUUAUUAAUAAAUGAAAGAUUACAAGAAGAGCAGUGCUGAGCUAAAAAAAAAAGAAAAAAGAUGAUCUGGAAAUUGAUGGAACCCCUUCACUUCCAUUUUCUGAAUCACCAAGGACCAUGGAUUCAGUCACCUACAUUUUAAAUGGCCUGAGGAACUUCCUGAAUUUCUUCAAAGCAUGCUUUGCUUCUGAUGAUGAGGAGUCACACCAAAAUGUUCCAGUUGGAAUCCGCGAAAGCGAAGAUGUUGCGCAGCAUCCCCUGUCUUUCUCCUCCAUCUAGCCCCUGUAAGGAAUCGUCUCAGAGGGUAAUCUUGGGAAGGACGGUUUAGAGAACCUCCCUCAGGCCAUUUGUUCUUGUUUUUGGAUUGACUUAUGCCUUGCAUCUUGAUUAAUGAGCAAUACAUUAAACAAAUACAUUUUCUCGUUGUUUUAUUAGACAAAAUCUCAACAUACCUAAAGUU